rnacentral:rRNA from 1 species
CUAUAACCCUUUGUGAACAUACCUAUAACUGUUGCUUCGGCGGGCAGGGUCUCCGUGACCCUCCCGGCCUCCCGCCCCCGGGCGGGUCGGCGCCCGCCGGAGGAUAACCAAACUCUGAUUUAACGACGUUUCUUCUGAGUGGUACAAGCAAAUAAUCAAAACUUUUAACAACGGAUCUCUUGGUUCUGGCAUCGAUGAAGAACGCAGCGAAAUGCGAUAAGUAAUGUGAAUUGCAGAAUUCAGUGAAUCAUCGAAUCUUUGAACGCACAUUGCGCCCGCCAGCAUUCUGGCGGGCAUGCCUGUUCGAGCGUCAUUUCAACCCUCAAGCUCUGCUUGGUGUUGGGGCCCUACAGCUGAUGUAGGCCCUCAAAGGUAGUGGCGGACCCUCCCGGAGCCUCCUUUGCGUAGUAACUUUACGUCUCGCACUGGGAUCCGGAGGGACUCUUGCCGUAAAACCCCCCAAUUUUCCAAAGGUUGACCUCGGAUCAGGUAGGAAUACCCGCUGAACUUAAGCAUAUCAAUAAGCGGAGGAAAAGAAACCAACAGGGAUUGCCUCAGUAA